AUUGAACGCUGGCGGCAGGCCUAACACAUGCAAGUCGAACGAGUGGCGGACGGGUGAGUAAUGUCUGGGAAACUGCCAGUUGGAGGGGGAUAAAUACUGGAAACGGUAGCUAAUCCCGCGUACCAUCGGAUGUGCCAAGUUGGGGUGGGCUUGUAGGUGAGGGAACGGCUCCCCUAGGCGACGAUCCGUAGCUGGUCUGAGAGGAUGACCAGCCAAACUGGAACGGAGCCACGGUCCAGACUCCUACGGGAGGCAGCAGUGGGGAAUAGUGUACAAUGGGGGCAAGCCGGAUGCAGCCAUGCCGCGUAUAUGAAGAAGGCCUUCGGGUUGGAAAGUACUUUCAGCGGGGAGGCGUUACCCGCAGAAGAAGCACCGGCUAACUCCGAGCCAGCAGCCGCGGUAAUAC
rnacentral:rRNA from 1 species